rnacentral:rRNA from 1 species
GACGUAGGUGGCGAACGUUAUCCGGAAUUAUUGGGCGUAAAGGGUGCGUAGGUGGCCUGACAAGUUAUCAGUGGCAAAUCGAGGCUCAACCUCGUGGAAACUGGUAAUACUGUUCGGCUUGAGUACAGGAGAGGUUAACGGAACUCUAUGUGGAGCGGUAAAAUGCACAGAUAUAUAGAAGAACUCAAUAAAGGCGAAGGCAGUUAACUAUUCUGUUACUGACGCUGAGGCACGAAAAGCGUGGGGAGCAAAACGG